rnacentral:rRNA from 1 species
UACGGAGGGGGUUAGCGUUGUUCGGAAUGACUGGGCGUAAAGCGCGCGUAGGCGGAUCGCGAAGUUGGGGGUGAAAGCCCAGGGCUCAACCCUGGAAUGGCCCUCAAGACUCGCGGUCUGGAGUUCGAGAGAGGUGGGUGGAAUUCCGAGUGUAGAGGUGAAAUUCGUAGAUAUUCGGAGGAACACCAGUGGCGAAGGCGGCCCACUGGCUCGACACUGACGCUGAGGCGCGAAAGCGCGGGGAGCAAACAGG